AGAGUUUGAUCCUGGCUCAGGAUGAACGCUAGCUACAGGCUUAACACAUGCAAGUCGAGGGGCAGCGGGAUUGAAGCUUGCUUCAAUUGCCGGCGACCGGCGCACGGGUGAGUAACGCGUAUCCAACCUUCCGUACACUCAGGGAUAGCCUUUCGAAAGAAAGAUUAAUACCUGAUGGUAUGAUGAGAUUGCAUGAUAGCAUCAUUAAAGAUUUAUCGGUGUACGAUGGGGAUGCGUUCCAUUAGGUAGUAGGCGGGGUAACGGCCCACCUAGCCUACGAUGGAUAGGGGUUCUGAGAGGAAGGUCCCCCACAUUGGAACUGAGACACGGUCCAAACUCCUACGGGAGGCAGCAGUGAGGAAUAUUGGUCAAUGGACGAGAGUCUGAACCAGCCAAGUAGCGUGAAGGAUGAAGGUCCUACGGAUUGUAAACUUCUUUUAUAAGGGAAUAAAACCUCCCACGUGUGGGAGCUUGUAUGUACCUUAUGAAUAAGCAUCGGCUAACUCCGUGCCAGCAGCCGCGGUAAUACGGAGGAUGCGAGCGUUAUCCGGAUUUAUUGGGUUUAAAGGGAGCGCAGACGGGUCGUUAAGUCAGCUGUGAAAGUUUGGGGCUCAACCUUAAAAUUGCAGUUGAUACUGGCGUCCUUGAGUGCGGUUGAGGUGUGCGGAAUUCGUGGUGUAGCGGUGAAAUGCUUAGAUAUCACGAAGAACUCCGAUUGCGAAGGCAGCACACUAAGCCGUAACUGACGUUCAUGCUCGAAAGUGUGGGUAUCAAACAGGAUUAGAUACCCUGGUAGUCCACACGGUAAACGAUGGAUACUCGCUGUUGGCGAUAUACUGUCAGCGGCUUAGCGAAAGCGUUAAGUAUCCCACCUGGGGAGUACGCCGGCAACGGUGAAACUCAAAGGAAUUGACGGGGGCCCGCACAAGCGGAGGAACA
rnacentral:rRNA from 1 species